GUAGAGGAGUAGUGAAAUGAAGCUCUGGGAUGGGUAGAGAAGUAGUGAGAGGAAGCUCUGGGAUUGGUAGAGGAGUAGUGAGAGGAAGCUAUUGGAUGGGUAGAGGAGUAGUGAGAGGAAGCUCUGGGAUAGGUAGAGGAGUAGUGAGAGGAAGCUAUUGGAUGGGUAGAGGAGUAGUGAGAGGAAGCUAUUGGAUGGGUAGAGAAGUAGUGAGAGGAAGUUAUUGGAUGGGUAGAGGAGUAGUGAGAGGAAGCUCUGGGAUUGGUAGAGGAGUAGUGAGAGGAAGCUAUUGGAUGGGUAGAGGAGUAGUGAGAGGAAGCUAUUGGAUGGGUAGAGAAGUAGUGAGAGGAAGUUAUUGGAUGGGUAGAGGAGUAGUGAGAGGAAGCUCUGGGAUUGGUAGAGGAGUAGUGAGAGGAAGCUAUUGGAUGGGUAGAGAAGUAGUGAGAGGAAGUUAUUGGAUGGGUAGAGAAGUAGUGAGAGGAAGUUAUUGGAUGGGUAGAGAAGUAGUGAGAGGAAGCUCUGGGAUUGG